rnacentral:rRNA from 1 species
CACGUAGGGGGCGAGCGUUGUCCGGAUUUAUUGGGCGUAAAGAGCUCGUAGGCGGCUCGGUAAGUCGGGUGUGAAACCUCCAGGCUCAACCUGGAGACGCCACCCGAUACUACCGUGGCUAGAGUCCGGUAGAGGAGCGUAGAAUUCCUGGUGUAGCGGUGAAAUGCGCAGAUAUCAGGAGGAACACCGGUGGCGAAGGCGGGACUCUGGGCCGAUACUGACGCUGAGGAGCGAAAGCGUGGGGGGCAAACAGG